AUUGAACGCUGGCGGCAGGCUUAACACAUGCAAGUCGAGCGGGGUGAUGGUGCUUGCACUAUCACUUAGCGGCGGACGGGUGAGUAAUGCUUAGGAAUCUGCCUAUUAGUGGGGGACAACAUCUCGAAAGGGAUGCUAAUACCGCAUACGUCCUACGGGAGAAAGCAGGGGAUCACUUGUGACCUUGCGCUAAUAGAUGAGCCUAAGUCGGAUUAGCUAGUUGGUGGGGUAAAGGCCUACCAAGGCGACGAUCUGUAGCGGGUCUGAGAGGAUGAUCCGCCACACUGGGACGGAGACACGGCCCAGACUCCUACGGGAGGCAGCAGUGGGGAAUAUUGGACAAUGGGGGGAACCCUGAUCCAGCCAUGCCGCGUGUGUGAAGAAGGCCUUAUGGUUGUAAAGCACUUUAAGCGAGGAGGAGGCUACUUUAGUUAAUACCUAGAGAUAGUGGACGUUACUCGCAGAAUAAGCACCGGCUAACUCUGUGCCAGCAGCCGCAGUAA
rnacentral:rRNA from 1 species